UUUGAAGUUUCUUUCCUACAAAUAAAAGAACAAUUUUAGCAUUCAACAUACAAGACACUAUCUGAGCUUUCAAGCAUCAGAUUAAUUACAUCUAGUGCCAUCCCUACCAUAACAGUUACUUUGUUACGGCAACAACACAUUGUGCAAGGUUAAGUGUUUCAUUAGGUUUCGUUAACUAGACGAAGAGGAGAGCCAAUUUCCAUAGGCAAAUGCAUAAUGGAGGGAGCAAAACCAAAGACACUAUUGCUCUUGGCAACCAACACAAGAAGGCUUCACAAACCACGACCCUAUCAACAACACAUUGUGCAAGGUUAAGUGUUUCAUUAGGUUUCGUUAACUAGACGAAGAGGAGAGCCAAUUUCCAUAGGCAAAUGCAUAAUGGAGGGAGCAAAACCAAAGACACUCUUGCUCUUGGCAACCAACACAAGAAGGCUUCACAAACCACGACCCUAUCAAGCAU
rnacentral:lncRNA from 1 species